UACGUAGGGCGCAAGCGUUGUCCGGAAUUAUUGGGCGUAAAGAGCUCGUAGGCGGCUUGUCGCGUCGGCUGUGAAAACCCGUGGCUCAACUGCGGGCUUGCAGCCGAUACGGGCAGGCUAGAGUUCGGUAGGGGAGACUGGAAUUCCUGGUGUAGCGGUGAAAUGCGCAGAUAUCAGGAGGAACACCGGUGGCGAAGGCGGGUCUCUGGGCCAUUACUGAUGCUGAGGAGCGAAAGCGUGGGGAGCGAACAGG
rnacentral:rRNA from 1 species